rnacentral:tRNA from 1 species
GCCAGCGUAGCUCAGUGGUAGAGCAGCGUCUUCAUAAGGCGUGGGCCGCAGGUUCGAUCCCUGCCGCUGGCA